rnacentral:lncRNA from 1 species
AGGCACUGCUGGCAUCCUGGCCGGCUGCGUUUGCACUGCUUCUCCAAAACCACAUUAUAGGUACUAAACAACAUUGUUUAGUACCUAUAAUGUGCUAGACUCCUGGCUGCUAGCGAGGUAAAGUUAAACAUAGUUUCUAUUACUGAGCUCUCGUAAUUAUUGUCAUAACACCACUUAGAUUGUGGAAAUAUCUGUCCUCACACCCCUUAUAUUAAAGGUGUGUGCAUUUAGAAAGCAAAACGUCUUGUUAGCAUUAAAAAUCUGAAUCGUGGCUGAUUUCUUUUCUUUUCUUUUUUUUUUUUUCGAGACAGUGUCUCUCUCUGCCGCCCAGGCUGGAGUGCAGUGGCACGAUCUCUGCUCACUGCAACCACCGCCUCCCAGGUUCUAAGCGAUUCUCCUGCUCCAGCCUCCGGAGUAGCUGGGAUUACAGGCGCCACAACCACGCCCGGCUAAUUUUUAUAUUUUUAGUAGAGACGGGGUUUUGCCAUGUUGGCCCGGCUGGUCUCGAACUCUUGACCUCAGGGGAUCCACCCACCUCGGCCUCCCAAAGUGCUGGGUUUAAUGGCGUGAGCUACAGCGCCCGGCCUGAUUUCAUGUUUUAUGUGAAAUUAACUUGUUUGCCUGGGUUAACAGUAAUUAACUGAUAAUUACAUAAUAUUUAUCAAUUUUUUCAGUUAAUUGCUGACAGUGUAAGAAGAGGAGCCAAAUCCAUUUCAGACACAGUAUGCAAUUGUGUUUUAAGCCCCAAGAGUAGUUACUUUAAAAAAGCUCACAUUAUUUUAAAUUUCAAAAUACAUGCCAAGACAGCUUGUCAUUUUCUUUGGUAAGACAUCUAAUUAAGUAGUUAACUAAGAAUCAAAUCUGUGAAGUAGGACUAAAUAGUAGUGGGCUUCCUGUACUAGAUAAUAUACAUAUAUGGUCUUUAUGCUGAAAUGUAUUAUGUGCCUACUUUAUUUUUGUCUUAGUCUGUUCUGCAUAGGUAAAUGUUUGGAUUAUUUCACCAAGCUGACUGGCCAGUAUCAAUGUUACCAGACUACUGGGUAAAAUUAUUAAUAAUGAAAGCUAAUGUUUUGUGGUUUGCACAGUCGCAUUGUUUUUGUCUCUGCUUAGACAAAAUUAUAAACUGGUCUUUUUUUUUUUUUUCUUUUUUUUGCCUUGCUUCACCACAGUCACAGAGUGACCCUCUCUGAUUAGUUGGUGUUCGAUAGGAAAAUCAUAGCCUAGUUGUGAAUGUCAAGCUAUCUCCCAACACUGUGGUGUAGCUGUGUCAGGUCAGUCCCUGGAUGUCAGGGAUGAUUUUCUCAUGACUAUUAGAUCUGGCUAAAAAAUGCAUAUUAAAUAGUAGUGUCAGUGAACUGACCCUUUAGAUGAAUAUUUUCCCUUCUAUUUUUUUCAGUGACCAAUUAUAGAUGUUUUUCUCCAUAAAAGUUAUUCUAGCUUAAGACCAAAAUAAUUUAGAGGAGUUAAUAUAAUUAAAAUACAGUAGUUCUUAUAUGCAAUAGGCAGUUUCAGUUACCAAGGGUUAAACAUGAUCUUGAGGCAGGAGAAUAGGGUCUCCUAUUGAGGCAGGGAACCUAAGGCCGAUUCAUGCUGACUUCCUAGAGCUAAAUCAAAAGGAAAACCCCAACUUCCCAUACCUAAGUAACAAAAGGACCCAAAGCUACGCCCUUUGCAAACCCCUCUUUUUUUCUGCGUGGCAGAUAGAAAAUUGAAAGUAUCUCUGCUUGGUAGCUUUCUGCAACCAAUCAGACGUUUGCGUAGGAGUGUAACUUUGUAACUUUGCUUCAGCCUCUAAUUGGUUGUUUUUCACAACCAAUCAGACUGAUUGUGGGCUAGUACUUCAUUUACAUUUACAUAAGGUGUACACCAAGUAACCAAUGGGAAACCUCUAGAGGGUAUUUAAACCCUAGAAAAUUCUGUAAGGAGGCCCUUGAGCCCCUAUGCUCAGAUGGUUCCCACCCUGUGGCGCGUACUUUUGUUUUCAGUAAAUCUCUGCUUUUGUUGCUUCAUUCUUUCCUUGCUUUGCUUGUGUGUUUUUCCAGUUCUUUGUUCAAAACACCAAGAACCUGGACACCUUCCACCGGUAACAAUCCGAAAAUAUUAAAAAGAAAAUUCCAGAAAUAUUCAUAAGUUUUAAAUUGCAUGCCAAAGUAGCAUGAUGAAAUCUCAUGCCAUCCAGCUCCAUCCCACCUGGGACGUGAAUCCUCCGUUUAUCUAGCAUAUCCAUCCAUGCAAUAGACAUUACUCUCUUGUUAGUCACUUAGGAGCCAUUGCAGUUAUCAGAUGGACUGUUGCAGUAUCACAGUGCCCUUAUUUUAGUUCUAUUACAAUAUAUUGUUAUAAUUGUUCUAUUUUAUUAUUAGGUAUUCCUCCUAAUCUCUUACGGUGCCUAAUUUAUACAUUAAGCUUUAUCAUAGGUAUAUAGGAAUUGGAAAAAAAUAGUAUAUAUAGGGUUUGGUAUUUUCCAGGGUUUCAAACAUCCACUGAGGGUGUUGGAAUGUAUCUCCAAGGAUAAAGGGAGUGGGAGGGGC